UACGGAAGGCAGCAGUGGGGAAUAUUGCACAAUGGGCGCAAGCCUGAUGCAGCCAUGCCGCGUGUAUGAAGAAAGGCCUUCGGGUUGUAAAGUACUUUCAGUCGUGAGGAAGGUGUUAAGGUUAAUAACCUUAGCAAUUGACGUUAGCGACAGAAGAAGCACCGGCUAACUCCGUGCCAGCAGCCGCGGUAAUACGGAGGGUGCGAGCGUUAAUCGGAAUUACUGGGCGUAAAGGGCACGCAGGCGGUUAAUUAAGUUGGAUGUGAAAUCCCCGGGCUUAACCUGGGAAUGGCAUUCAAGACUGGUUAGCUAGAGUCUUGUAGAGGGGGUAGAAUUCCAUGUGUAGCGGUGAAAUGCGUAGAGAUGUGGAGGAAUACCGGUGGCGAAGGCGGCCCCUGGGACAAAGACUGACGCUCAUGUGCGAAAGCGUGGGGAGCAAACAGGGAUUAGAUACC
rnacentral:rRNA from 1 species